rnacentral:rRNA from 1 species
UUCGGUGCGGGCUGCGAGAGCGGUACCAAAUCGAGACGAACUCUGAAUACCCUGUGUGUAGCAAGGCAGUCAGACUGUGGGGGAUAAGCUCCAUGGUCGAAAGGGAAACAGCCCAGACCGCCAGCUAAGGUCCCCAAAUCAAUGCUGAGUGAUAAAGGAGGUGGGAUUGCCCAGACAACCAGGAGGUUUGCCCAGAAGCAGCCAUCCUCAAAGGAGUGCGUAAUAGCUCACUGGUCGAGCGAUCCUGCGCCGAAAAUGAACGGGGCUAAGCAUUGUACCGAAGCUGCGGAUUUAAUUGUUCUUAGGAACAAUCAAGUGGUAGGGGAGCGUUCCAUGUGGGGUGAAGCGUUAGCGUAAGCGGGCGUGGACUGCAUGGAAGUGAGAAUGUCGGCUUGAGUAGCGAAAACAUGGGUGAGAAUCCCAUGCCCCGAAACCCUAAGGGUUCCUCCGGCAGGCUCGUCCGCGGAGGGUUAGUCAGGACCUAAGGCGAGGCCGAAGGCGUAGUCGAUGGACAACAGGUUAACAUUCCUGUACCUGUCAUGUUUUGGGAAGGGGGACGGAGAAGGCUAGCCCAGCCAGACGUUGGUUACUGGUUCAAGCGUUCGAGGCGUUGAGGGGUGGAGAAAACAUCCUGAGCUGAGGCGUGAGUACGAGCUGCUACGGCAGCGAAGUGGGUGACGUCAAGCUUCCAAGAAAAGCCCUAUACCCGUUAAGGCAUGAUGGCCUGUACCCGAANGAACUCGGCAAAAUGGCCCCGUA